GCUGAUGUAGCUCAGGGGUAGAGCACUUCCUUGGUAAGGAAGAGGUCAUGGGUUCAAAUCCCAUCAUCAGCU
rnacentral:tRNA from 1 species